rnacentral:rRNA from 1 species
UACGUAGGGGCUAGCGUUGUCCGGAUUUAUUGGGCGUAAAGAGCGUGUAGGCGGCCAGAAAAGUCCGCUGUGAAAACUCGAGGCUCAACUUCGAGCUGUCGGUGGAAACUUUCUGGCUAGAGUCCGGAAGAGGAGAAUGGAAUUCCCGGUGUAGCGGUGAAAUGCGCAGAUAUCGGGAGAACACCCGUGGCGAAGGCGGUUCUCUGGGACGGUACUGACGCUGGAGACGCGAAAGCGUGGGGAGCGAACAGG